ACCAUGUACGAGGAGGAUCCCCGCUAAGAAUCCAUGGCUGAAUGGUUAAAACGCCCAACUCAUAAUUGGUGAAUUCGUAGGUUCAAUUCCUACUGGAUGCACGCCAAUGGGACCCUCCAAUAAGUCUAUUGGAAUUGGCUAUGUAUCAAUGGAAUCUCAUCAUCCAUAAAUAACGAAUUGUUGUGGUAUAUUCAUAUCAUAAUAUAUGAACAGUAAGAACUAGCAUUCUUAUUGAGACUAGAACUCAUAGGCAAGAAAAUUGAUUUAUGGAUGGAAUCAAAUAUGCAGUAU